rnacentral:rRNA from 1 species
GAUGAACGCUGGCGGCGUGCCUAAUACAUGCAAGUCGAGCGAACAGACGCGGAGCUUGCUCCUCUGACGUUAGCGGCGGACGGGUGAGUAACACGUGGAUAACCUACCUAUCAGACUGGGAUAACUUCGGGAAACCGGAGCUAAUACCGGAUAAUAUAUUGAACCGCAGGGUGCAAUAGUGAAAGACGGUUUUGCGGUCACUUAUAGAUGGAUCCGCGCCGCAUUAGCUAGUUGGUAAGGUAACGGCUUACCAAGGCAACGAUGCGUAGCCGACCUGAGAGGGUGAUCGGCCACCCUGGAGCGGAGCCGCGGUCCAGGCUCCUACGGUAGGCAGCAGUAUGGAACCUUCCGCAACGGGGGGAAGCCUUGCGGAGCGACGCCGCGUGAGUUGUGAAGGUCUUCGGAUCGUAAAACCCUGUUAUUAGGGAAGAACAAAUGUGUAAGUAACUAUGCACGUCUUGACGGUACUUAAUCAGAAAGCCACGGCUAACUACGUG